GAUGAACGCUGGCGGCGUGCCUAAUACAUGCAAGUCGAGCGAAUAGACGAGGAGCUUGCUCCUCUGACGUUAGCGGCGGACGGGUGAGUAACACGUGGAUAACCUACCUAUAAGACUGGGAUAACUUCGGGAAACCGGGGCUAAUACCGGAUAAUAUAUUGAACCGCAUGGUUCAAUAGUGAAAGACGGUUUUGCUGUCACUUAUAGAUGGAUCCGCGCCGCAUUAGCUAGUUGGUAAGGUAACGGCUUACCAAGGCAACGAUGCGUAGCCGACCUGAGAGGGUGAUCGGCCACACUGGAACUGAGACACGGUCCAGACUCCUACGGGAGGCAGCAGUAGGGAAUCUUCCGCAAUGGGCGAAAGCCUGACGGAGCAACGCCGCGUGAGUGAUGAAGGUCUUCGGAUCGUAAAACUCUGUUAUUAGGGAAUAACAAAUGUGUAAGUAACUAUGCACGUCUUGACGGUACCUAAUCAGAAAGCCACGGCUAACUACGUG
rnacentral:rRNA from 1 species